rnacentral:rRNA from 1 species
UAAGGAAUAUUGCUCAAUGGGAGAAAUCCUGAAGCAGCAACGCCGCGUGGAGGAUGAAGGGUCUAUGACUUGUAAACUCCUGUAAAGAAGGAAAAAAUUCCCAUUUGAUGGGAGAUGAUGGUACUUCUGGAGUAAGCCCCGGCUAACUACGUGCCAGCAGCCGCGGUAAUACGUAGGGGGCAAGCGUUGUCCGGAUUUACUGGGUGUAAAGGGUGCUCAGGCGGAUUUGUAAGUCAGAGGUGAAAUCUUACAGCUUAACUGUGAAACUGCCUUGGAUACUGCAAGCCUAGAGUAUGGAAGAGAGUGAUGGAAUAUCUGGUGUAGCAGUGAAAUGCGUAGAUAUCAGAUAGAACACCAAUGGCGAAGGCAGUCACUUGGUCCAUUACUGACGCUAAAGCACGAAAGCGUGGGUAGCAAAC